rnacentral:rRNA from 1 species
AGCGAAUCGCUAAAAGCCGUCCCAGUUCGGAUUGCAGGCUGCAACCCGCCUGCAUGAAGUUGGAAUCGCUAGUAAUCGCGGAUCAGCAUGCCGCGGUGAAUACGUUCCCGGGCCUUGUACACACCGCCCGUCACACCAUGAGAGUCGGGAACACCCGAAGUCCGUAGCCUGACCGCAAGGGGGGCGCGGCCGAAGGUGGGUUCGAUAAUUGGGGUGAAGUCGUAACAAGGUAGC